AACGGCUGGAAACGGUCGCUAAUACCGCAUGAUGUGUUCGGAUGGCAUCAUCUGAACAUCAAAGAUUUAUCGCUGAAAGAUGGGCUCGCGUCUGAUUAGAUAGUUGGUGGGGUAACGGCCUACCAAGUCAACGAUCAGUAGCCGGACUGAGAGGUUGAACGGCCACAUUGGGACUGAGAUACGGCCCAGACUCCUACGGGAGGCAGCAGUGGGGAAUAUUGCACAAUGGGGGAAACCCUGAUGCAGCAACGCCGCGUGAAGGAUGACGGUUUUCGGAUUGUAAACUUCUUUUCUUAGUGACGAAGACAGUGACGGUAGCUAAGGAAUAAGCAUCGGCUAACUACGUGCCAGCAGCCGCGGUAAUACGUAGGAUGCAAGCGUUAUCCGGAUUUACUGGGUGUAAAGGGAGCGCAGGCGGGACUGCAAGUUGGAUGUGAAAUACCGUGGCUUAACCACGGAACUGCAUCCAAAACUGUAGUUCUUGAGUGAAGUAGAGGCAAGCGGAAUUCCGAGUGUAGCGGUGAAAUGCGUAGAUAUUCGGAGGAACACCAGUGGCGAAGGCGGCUUGCUGGGCUUUAACUGACGCUGAGGCUCGAAAGUGUGGGGAGCAAACAGGAUUAGAUACCCUGGUAGUCCACACUGUAAACGAUGAUAGCUAGGUGUGGGGGGUCUGACCCCUUCCGUGCCGGAGUUAACGCAAUAAGCUAUCCACCUGGGGAGUACGACCGCAAGGUUGCAACUCAAAUGAAUUGACGG
rnacentral:rRNA from 1 species